rnacentral:rRNA from 1 species
UACGUAGGGGGCAAGCGUUGUCCGGAAUCAUUGGGCGUAAAGCGCGUGUAGGCGGCCCGGUAAGUCCGCUGUGAAAGUCGGGGGCUCAACCCUCGGAUGCCGGUGGAUACUGUCGGGCUCGAGUACGGAAGAGGCGAGUGGAAUUCCUGGUGUAGCGGUGAAAUGCGCAGAUAUCAGGAGGAACACCUAUUGCGAAGGCAGCUCGCUGGGACGUCACUGACGCUGAGACGCGAAAGCGUGGGGAGCAAACAGG